rnacentral:lncRNA from 1 species
UCACAGUCAACGUGAAGUAGUCAUCUUGACCUCAUCUAUCAUCAUGAAACUCUUGUCGCUGAUGAUGGUGGUGGUGGUGGCCCUGGCCACCCUGAUGGGGUCAGCCCGAGCUAUGCCUGACCCCUACGCCCUGCCUGGCCCUGACCCCCACUAUGGUCGCUACGGAGGCUAUGGAGGUUAUGGAGGCUUCGGCGGAGGUUUCGGAGGUUACAGAGGCUUCGGCGGCGGCUUCUUUGGUUGAUCAAGGAACAUACUCUCGCCGACCUCAAGCUGCUCCCAAGAGACGGAUCCUGCCAGAAGACGAACACUCACAAGAAAGCAACGUAGACCACAGCAAGCUUAACAGCUUCAGCACCUCCACCAGCAAGCAUUUACAAUCCCCACCACCUCCACCAUGAUGUUUGGGGAGUGAUUAAUUGUUAAUUCAGUAGCUAGCGACUGAACUGCAUUCUUUAAAUACAAUAAAUGCAUGUUAACAAA